CAGGUGUAGGUACCUAACAAGGAUAACACAUACAAAGAAGAUUACCAUGAUCCUUAUGCAAGGAUGACACAUACAUAUCGAGAAAUGGUCCAUUUUUUA